GUAACCGAUUCUCUUAGUAACUCGCAAAGCGCUCGAAGCAGGACGCUUUAGUCAUUUUUUAACGCAUUUUUCGCGGUCCCGUUACCUUUCCUUUCGCUCGCGAUCUCUUCCUCUUUUCAACCAAAAGAAAACGUUUUUACGAAUCUAAGAACAACUAGGUCAUGCGCCAUGUACAUCUAACGACUUUUUAUCUCGCAACGAUGCGUCUCUUUAACGACCAUUGCCGAAAGUGUGAGUAUCGUGCAUAGAACAGUGGAAGAAAGAUGGCGUCGGGCUAUCUGGAAUGCAAUAUACCAAGGAAACGCAAUAUUCUCUAUUGAAAUUAAUAUGGCAGUAUUGCCUUACGAAGCAUCCAAUUAUAAAAAUACAUGCUGUCGCCAUCGAUUACGUAAACGAUGUUUGUAUCGAAGGUUGAUGUAAUCAGGUUGAUUUCAAACAACUCAAUAAACAAAUGAGAAAUGAUCAUUCAUCGGUGAAAAUUACAAAUUGGAAAAUGAAAGAUUUCUUUCGUUUACAGUUAUUAUGGAAAAAUUUCGAUUAUUUCAACGCUAAUAUAUUAUCUUUGAAAAUUUUGAAACAAAACUGAUACCACGGGAAUAGAUGAAUUAAGAUCCGCAAUAGAAGCAACACGAACCGUGUGCCAUAAAUGUUAACAGGAGAGCGAUAACUCUUGCCGAAGAAACACCAGAGUCGCGAGUAAUUUUCUACGGGUCAUAAAUUUCCUAACACGGAUAGUUUACUGGCCGUGACUAAAUUCACCUGUAAUCCCCAAAAGUCCAAAGAAGAACAAAUAAGAAAUGAGAGCACAACAUUAAACUUGAAAAGGUAUGUAGGAGAAAGAGAGAGAGAGAGAAGAUGGUAAAGCAAAUGUCUCGUGUCGAGCUAAUAAUAAUGGACAGAGUUGAUUGAUUCAAUGAGUACCACUGUUCUCGGUUAAUUAUCGUGACUCUUGUUAUCCCAUUAUCGUCGUUAGAUAGUAUCGGAAGGGAGGAACAACUCCUUUGCGGGUUGCCGACUGUCGGUUUGCAGGAUGCACGCGUAGCGGCGGCCGUGCAUUCGCUAUCUUACUACUUGGAGGCUGUGAAACUCAUCCUGCCCGAAUAAUCGCCGUUUCGGACGAUUACGUAAAUGAGAAACGAUGAUGAGAACAUUACGCGCGUAUACGCGUUGCGAAACGCGCCAAUUUUGGCUGACAUUGUUUAAAUUUGUGAUUCCCGCCAAACAUAAUCAUUGUAAAUUAUUCACGCUUAAUAAUUCUUUUGAAUUCUUUUUUUUUUGCAUUAAAUCGAAUAAUUACCGUAAAAAAUAUAACGAAAUAAUAGAAAUAAGGAAUGUAUAAAAAAUCAGAUUUUUAAAAUAAUGACAGUCUUAUUAGCAAGCUAUGUAAAUUAUAUUUUUUUAUAUCGAUCAUUAUACAUAAUUUUAUAUAAUUUUAAACAAUAUAUAAUAAAUAUUAUAAUGUCAAAAA